rnacentral:hammerhead_ribozyme from 1 species
ACACUUCUGAAGAGUCCCACAAUAGGACGAAACGGCCGUCCAGUU